ensembl:snRNA U6 U6 spliceosomal RNA
GCUUGCUUUGGCAAUACAUUUGCUAAAAUUGCAACUAUACAGGGAACAUUAGCCUGGCCCCUAUGCAAGGAUAACACACAAAUUUGUGAACCAUUCCAUACAUUU